AUGCUUCCUGACACCUACUCAGCUCUACUGCUCCUGUUUGUGCUCAGCAGGAGCAAUGGAGACUCAGUGACCCAGACAAAUGGCCGGCUUACCAUCACAGAGGGGUUCCCUCUAUUGCUGAACUGCACUUAUCAAACUAUUUACUCAGAUUUUUACCUUUGGUGGUAUGUGCAAUAUGCCAACAGAUCCCCUCAGCUACUUUUGAGGAGCUCCACAGACAACAAGAGGACAGAGCACCAAGAGUUCCAUGCCACUCUCCAUAAGAGCAACAGCUCCUUCCACCUGCAGAAGUCCUCAGUGCAGCUGUGGGACUCUGCCCUGUACUACUGUGUUCUGAGUGACACAGUGAGGGAGACUUCAGGGGAAGCUGCACACAAACCAAGGGUGCAGGAGGGCAGAGGGGAGCAGACCUCAGCUGCUCCAGAGCUGAGUGGCAGCUACUCAUCCCUUGUCCCCCAGUGUCCUUUCCUUCAUAUGCAACACCCUCACCUAGGACUCCAGCUCCUCCUGAAGCUCACACCAGGAAGCCACCCUGUCUCAGGCAUGGAGGACUAUCAGAAUGAGUGCAGAAAGGAUGAACACUCCUUCCACCUAAGGCUCCUCUGGCAAUAG